AGCGAACGCUGGCGGCAGGCCUAACACAUGCAAGUCGAACGGAUCCUUCGGGAUUAGUGGCGGACGGGUGAGUAACACGUGGGAACGUGCCUUUUGGUUCGGAACAACGCAGAGAAAUUUGCGCUAAUACCGAAUGUGCCCUUCGGGGGAAAGAUUUAUCGCCAUUAGAGCGGCCCGCGUCUGAUUAGCUAGUUGGUGAGGUAAAGGCUCACCAAGGCUACGAUCAGUAGCUGGUCUGAGAGGAUGAUCAGCCACAUUGGGACUGAGACACGGCCCAAACUCCUACGGGAGGCAGCAGUGGGAAUCUUGCGCAAUGGGCGAAAGCCUGACGCAGCCAUGCCGCGUGAAUGAUGAAGGUCUUAGGAUUGUAAAAUUCUUUCACCGGGGACGAUAAUGACGGUACCCGAGAAGAAGCCCCGGCUAACUUCGUGCCAGCAGCCGCGGUAAU
rnacentral:rRNA from 1 species